rnacentral:rRNA from 1 species
GGCGAGUGAAGCGGCAAAAGCUCAAAUUUGAAAUCUGGCACUUUCAGUGUCCGAGUUGUAAUUUGAAGAAGGUAUCUUUGGGUCUGGCUCUUGUCUAUGUUUCUUGGAACAGAACGUCACAGAGGGUGAGAAUCCCGUGCGAUGAGAUGUCCCAGACCUAUGUAAAGUUCCUUCGAAGAGUCGAGUUGUUUGGGAAUGCAGCUCUAAGUGGGUGGUAAAUUCCAUCUAAAGCUAAAUAUUGGCGAGAGACCGAUAGCGAACAAGUACAGUGAUGGAAAGAUGAAAAGAACUUUGAAAAGAGAGUGAAAAAGUACGUGAAAUUGUUGAAAGGGAAGGGCUUGAGAUCAGACUUGGUAUUUUGUAUGUUACUCUCUCGGGGGUGGCCUCUACAGUUUACCGGGCCAGCAUCAGUUUGAGCGGUAGGAUAAGUGCAAAGAAAUGUGGCACUGCUUCGGUAGUGUGUUAUAGUCUUUGUCGAUACUGCCAGCUUAGACUGAGGACUGCGGCUUCGGCCUAGGAUGU